UGAAGCGGUUCUCAUUAGUCCUCCUUCAGCACAAACAUGUUCACUUCAGCUCCACUGCUGCUGUUGGCUCUCGCCACCUAUGUGUUCUGUGCUACUGAGCUCAUCCAGCCAGAUUCAGUGGUUAUAAAGCCAGGAGAGACUUUAACCAUCACCUGUAAAGUGUCUGGAGCUUCUAUCACUGAUAGCAGCAGCCACCGUGCAACAGCUUGGAUUCGACAACCUGCAGGAAAAGCUUUAGAAUGGAUCAAUUUAAUUUACUAUGAUGGGGAUAUCCUUCAGAAAGAUUCACUCAAAAACAAAUUUGCCAUCUCUCGAGACACAUCCAGUAACAGCGUGUCCUUACGGGGACAGAACAUGCAGACUGAAGACACAGCUGUGUAUUACUGCGCUCGUGAAGCACACUGACACAACAAGCUGCAGCGCUGCACAAAAACAUCAUCUACAUCUUAUCUUAACUGUUGCCUGUGGAAUCAGAUCUUUCAUGACAUGGUCAGUGUCUCCCAGUGCAGUGCAGGGAUGGUGUGAUUGGCAUUGCUGACUGUAGUGUCAGUGGUCACAGGGCUUAACUUACAGUUAACUUACAGUCCUUAUAGUUACCAAUGACAAUAACUGAAUAUGUCUGGUUUGUUUGCUCCAUAAACACACAAUGUUUUGUCAAGGUUACAGUCACAGGAACAGGAUGCAUCUGUUCUCUAACCUUUGCUGCCACAUGUGCUUUCUUUCUACAUAAUGGAAAUCUAAAAGCAACUCUGUGAAACCUGUUCAUUAUUAAUGUCUGAAGGAUGGAUUGAACUCAGUCUUCUCAUUAUAUGUAUUUUUUAUUUAAAUUACAACCUGACCACUGCUCAUAUUCUUUUGACCAUUUUUAGGUUAAAUUUAUCUAAACAAUAAAAUACUAAUGAAUUGCACAAAUAAAUCCAUGUGAUAUUACACUGUGAGAUGAUAGGGGGCACUCUUGUACUUUGUCACUUCAUGUCAUAUUAUUUCUGGUUUUCAGUUUCA